rnacentral:rRNA from 1 species
GCGAGUCGAACGAUGACGAAACAGCUUGCUGUUUCUGAUUAGUGGCGGACGGGUGAGUAAUGUAUAGGGAUCUGCCUGACAGUGGGGGACAACAGCCGGAAACGGCUGCUAAUACCGCAUACGCUCUACGGAGGAAAGUGGGGGACCUUCGGGCCUCACGCUAACAGAUGAACCUAUAUCAGAUUAGCUAGAUGGUGGGGUAAAGGCCUACCAUGGCGACGAUCUGUAGCUGGUUUGAGAGAAUGAUC